ACUGAAGCCAUAUCACCCUGCUGUCCAAGACCAGUUACUCACUGAAGCUAAGCAGGGCUCAGCCUGGUCAGUACCUGGAUAGGAGACCACAUGAAAAAGCUAGGUUGCUGUUAGAA
ensembl:rRNA 5S_rRNA 5S ribosomal RNA